rfam:Trichobilharzia regenti genome assembly, scaffold: TRE_scaffold0002072
GUACUAAUGAAGAGCCCCAAAUUAGGACGAAACAGCUGUCCAGUAC